rnacentral:misc_RNA from 1 species
CAAGCAAACGUAGGAACUAAAAGUAGAAAUCAAAACCCUAAUUUUAAAAAAAUCUGAAGAUAAAAUAAAUAGCCGAAUCUGAUAUUGAACCCUGAUUGCUAAGUUUGGACGAGUAAUUCGAUACUCGACGAACUCUAUCUAGGACGAUUAAGCGAGAGAUAAGAGGGUGAAGAGCAAGAGCAGUGAAAACCUUAGCCGGACGGAUAUUGUCGCCGGAGAUGACAGAACAGCAGCGAGUGGAUAUGAGGUUUGAGAUAUUGAGAUUGAAAUCGAGUAAAAAUUACGAGAGAUACCAAGGAAAUAGCGGAGGGCGAUGGGGGAUAAAUGCGGAAGAGUAUAAUGUUGGAAGCGGAGAGGAAAAUAGGUUGUG